rnacentral:lncRNA from 1 species
AAACAUUUUGAAGUAUAUAUGAUAUAUUUUAUGUUUCAAAAUCAAUAUUAGUAGACUAGCAUAUAUCAAUAGAUUUCCAUAUAUGUUUUUUGAUAUACAAUGUGUAAUUAAGUCAAUUAAAGUUUUAAUACUUUAUUACCUUCAUUGAGGCCUUUAGCCAUCAUAGAUUUGGGCUACUAUUGAUCUUUGGACUUUAUUAGGCAACUUAUUGUCAAUUCAUAAAGAUCUUUAAACAUGUUAGUGAUUGUAGAGCAUAUUAGUAAAUAAAUUGAAUUCAAUGCUUUGCCACAAAUAUUUUUAGAGUUGGUAAUUAUGUCUUUUUUUAAAAUUGUAUAUUGGUACAUUUUGAAGUACCUUUUGAAGACUUAACAAAUAAAAA